rnacentral:rRNA from 1 species
AGAGUUUGAUCCUGGCUCAGAACGUACGCUGGCGGCACGCCUAACACAUGCAAGUCGAACGAAGUAGCAAUACUUAGUGGCAGACGGGUGAGUAACAUGUAGGUAUCUGCCCUUUGGCCUGGAAUAACACGAGGAAACUUGUGCUAAUACCGGAUAAGUCUUUACGGAGAACGCUUUAUGCACCAUUGGAUGAGCCUGCACUUGAUUAGUUUGUUGGUGGGGUAAUGGCCUACCAAGACUGUGAUCAAUAGCUGAUUUGAGAGGAUGAUCAGCCACAUUGGGACUGAGACACGGCCCAAACUCCUACGGGAGGCAGCAGUGGGGAAUCUUGCACAAUGGAGGAAACUCUGACGCAGCGAUGCCGCGUGAGUGAAGAAGGCCCUUGGGUUGUAAAGCUCUUUCGUCGGGGAAGAAAAUGACUGUACCCGAAUAAGAAGGUCCGGCUAACUUCGUGCCAGCAGCCGCGGUAAUACGAAGGGACCUAGCGUAGUUCGGAAUUACUGGGCUUAAAGAGUUCGUAGGUGGUUGAAAAAGUUGGUGGUGAAAUCCCAGAGCUUAACUCUGGAACUGCCAUCAAAACUUUUCAGCUAGAGUAUGAUAGAGGAAAGCAGAAUUUCUAGUGUAGAGGUGAAAUUCGUAGAUAUUAGAAAGAAUACCAAUUGCGAAGGCAGCUUUCUGGAUCAUUACUGACACUGAGGAACGAAAGCAUGGGUAGCGAAGAGGAUUAGAUACCCUCGUAGUCCAUGCCGUAAACGAUGUGUGUUAGACGUUGGAAAUUUAUUUUCAGUGUCGCAGCGAAAGCGAUAAACACACCGCCUGGGGAGUACGACCGCAAGGUUAAAACUCAAAUGAAUUGACGGGGACCCGCACAAGUAGUGGAGCAUGUGGUUUAAUUCGAAGAUACGCGCAGAACCUUACCAACACUUGACAUGUUCGUCGCGACUUUAAGAGAUUAAAGUUUUCGGUUCGGCCGGACGAAACACAGGUGCUGCAUGGCUGUCGUCAGCUCGUGUCGUGAGAUGUUGGGUUAAGUCCCGCAACGAGCGCAACCCUCACUUUUAGUUGCCAUCAUUAAGUUGGGCACUCUGAAAGAACUGCCAGUGAUAAGCUGGAGGAAGGUGGGGAUGACGUCAAGUCCUCAUGGCCCUUACGUGUUGGGCUACACACGUGCCACAAUGGUAUCUACAACAGGAAGCAAGACGGCGACGUUAAGCAAAUCCUUAAAAGAUACCUCAGUUCGGAUUGCACUCUGCAACUCGAGUGCAUGAAGCUGGAAUUACUAGUAAUCGUGGAUCAGCGUGCCACGGUGAAUGCGUUCCCGGGUCUUGUACACACCGCCCGUCACACCAUGGGAGUUGGUUCUACCUUAAGGCAAGGUUUAAAACCCUUGACCACGGUAUAGUCAGCGACUGGGGUGAAGUCGUAACAAGGUAACC